ensembl:lncRNA APOC1P1 apolipoprotein C1 pseudogene 1
AACCAAGCCCUCCAGCAAGGAUUCAGGUUGGUGCCCCUCCGGCCUCGCCAUGAGGCUCUUCCUGUCGCUCCCGGUCCUGGUGGUGGUUCUGUCGAUCGUCUUGGAAGGCCCAGCCCCAGCCUAGGGGGCUCCAGAAGUCUCCAACCCCUUUGAUGGCCUGGAGGAGUUAGGAAAGACCCUGGAGGACUACACUCGGGAAUUCAUCAACCGCAUCACACAGAGUGAACUUCCUGCCAAGAUGUGGGAUUGGUUUUCAGAGACAUUUCGGAAAGUGAAGGAGAAACUCAAGACUGACUCAUGAGGACCUGAAGGGUGACAUCCCAGGAGGGGCCUCUGAAAUUUCCAACACCCCAGCGCCUGUACUGAGGACGCCCUCCAUGUGUGUCCAAUGUGGUCACACGCCCAGGUGUGACCAAUAAAAAUCCUAUGGAAAAUUCUCUCUGGCCAGGCAUGGUGGCUGACGCCUGUAAUCCCAGCACUUUGGGAGGCUGAGGCGGGCGGAUCACAAGGUCAGGAGAUUGAGCCCAUCCUGGCUAACACGGUGAAACCCCGUCUCUACUAAAAAUACAAAAAAAAUAGCCAAGCGUGGUGGCAGGCGCCUGUAGUCCCAGCUAUUCGGGAGGCUGAGGC